rnacentral:lncRNA from 1 species
AGAGGGACUAUGUUGUGAGCCUGCGAAAGAAGUUUGUGUGGGGACUGUGGGCAGUGAACGCGUUGGGAACAAUAUGGAAAACUGGGAGCCGCCUUGGAAUCUACAGGGCCGGGACCCACUCGAGCCAUCCACACUUGCCCCAGCCUCCUCCAAAACAGCACACUUUCCGGCUGAAGAAAAGAAGAAUGGUAUUCACGCAGUUCCCAUUUUACAGAUGAAAACAAGAGGACUUUUUCUGUGAAGUCAAGAAAGUGGUUACAAUGGUACUUUCAGCCUGUCCGAAUUAUGUAUUGCCCCUCCCCUUUUUAUUAAUAACAUUGAAGUGUGAUGGGACAACCACUGAAGCCGUCAGUUGAAACCUGCUGGGACUUUUUAGCCAUUCUCUUCAACAUAAAGAAUGGGUGUUUUUGGAGGGGGUGAGAGGAAUGGGGAAAUGUUGUCAAAGAGUACAACGUUUUAGUUGAGACAGGAAGAAUAUAUUUUGUUGAGAUCUACAGCACAGCAUGGUGACUGUAGUUAACAAUGAAGUAUUGUCUAUUUCCAAAUUGCUAAGACAAUAAAUUUCAAAUGUUCUCACCACAAAAAAGAUAGGUUUUGAGGUGAUGAAUCUAUUAA